GGAUGAAGAACGUAGCGAAAUGCGAUAAGUAAUGUGAAUUGCAGAAUUCAGUGAAUCAUCGAAUCUUUGAACGCACAUUGCGCCCCCUGGUAUUCCGGGGGCAUGCCUGUCCGAGCGUCAUUACAACCCUCAAGCUCAGCUUGGUGUUGGGCCCCGCCGCCCCGGCGGGCCCUAAAGUCAGUGGCGGUGCCGUCCGGCUCCGAGCGUAGUAAUUCUUCUCGCUCUGGAGGUCCGGUCGUGUGCUCGCCAGCAACCCCCAAUUUUUUUCAGGUUGACCUCGGAUCAGGUAGGGAUACCCGCUGAACUUAAGCAUAUCAAUAAGCGGAGGA
rnacentral:misc_RNA from 1 species